GGUCGCUUAACUCAGUUGGUUAGAGUGUCGUACUAAUAUACCCGGUUCCCCGGUGUUCUGAUAUGCGAAAGUCGCCAGUUCGAUCCUGGUAGUGACCA